UGGGGGAUAUUGCACAAUGGGGGCAACCCUGAUGCAGCGACGCCGCGUGAGCGAUGGAGUACUUCGGUAUGUAAAGCUCUGUCAGCAGGGAAGAGAAUGACGGUACCUGACCAAGAAGCCCCGGCUAAAUACGUGCCAGCAGCCGCGGUAAUACGUAUGGGGCAAGCGUUAUCCGGAUUUACUGGGUGUAAAGGGAGCGUAGGCGGCAGGGCAAGCCUGAUGUGAAAGCCCGGGGCUCAACCCCGGGACUGCAUUGGGAACUGCCCCGCUCGAGUGCCGGAGGGGCAGGCGGAAUUCCUAGUGUAGCGGUGAAAUGCGUAGAUAUUAGGAGGAACACCAGUGGCGAAGGCGGCCUGCUGGACGGUGUACUGACGCUGAGGCUCGAAAGCGUGGGGAGCAAACAGG
rnacentral:rRNA from 1 species